AAAUGCGCAAGGACUCAUUAAUCCAUUAUUUACUCUUUUCCUGGUGGAGCUAGACCGAUGAAGCAGCUGCCUCCAUAAGAAGAAGCCUGCAGAAGUCAAUUAAGGUCUUCCGUCUAAGGUUCCAGCUACAAGCCCAUCUUCCACUGUGUUCAAAUCUAAAGGAACUCCCAAGAGCCUGCUGUCUAAUGCGAAUUAGCCCAUCCUUGACUUCGUGACUGAAUCAUCUACAUCACCGGCAAACAUCUAAAAAUUGCAUUUGUAAUAAUAUUUUAUUUAAAAACUAUAAAGUGUUAAGAUUAGGGAUAGAGGGAUGGCUCAGUGGUUAAGAGAGCUUUCCUCUUCCUGGAGACCAAAUUUCAGCUCCUAACUUCUAUUCUGGACAACUCACAACCAGUGAGGUUUUCCUGGACCUUUGUGAACCACAGACAGACCCUCCUGUCUCAUUUACUGAAAGGGCAAAUGGGAGGGUGCAUAGAAAUACUCUGAACAACAUAACAUCGGAACAGCAAAACAUGUAGCUCUUUACAGAGAUUUAAGUGCAGCUCCUCCUCCUCCUUGAGAGGACCUCAGCCGGCCCCACUUGCGUAUGCAAUACCACCCCCACCCUCCCCCAUCUUAAGACCCAUGUUUAAACCAGUGUUAAAACAUCUUAUUAAUAAACCCCAGUACUGCUUCAAAUCC
rnacentral:lncRNA from 1 species